rnacentral:lncRNA from 1 species
GGGAUCUGUUGCAAAGAUCUGGCAAGGCAGAGCAAAGCUAGAUUUCAGGAAGAAGAACCAGGCAAGUUCUAGCUGUGUCAGUAUCAGGAUGGUCUCUUGACUUGACAGCACUCAUCUGUUGUCUGUGCAUCUGUCUGGUCAAGGUUUUGAUUCCUUCAAGAUUGAAUCUGAUUGGCCUCGUGUAUGUCAUGCCCCGCCCUCUUGGCCAAUGGAAUGAGUCAGGCACUCUGAUUGGCAUUCUCUCUAGACCAUCCCACGAACCAAGGAUGAUCAUUUCCCCUGGACCUCUAAGAUUCUGUUUUUAGAAGAAAUUCUUGGAUUCCAGGCUGACAGAAUAUCACAGAUGUCUACUCCAGCAGAAGCAGUGCUGAAACCAGCGUGUGACAUAGAGUAAACUCU